GCGGUUAUUUGGUUUAAAAUUUUUCAGUAGUAAUAUAAAAGUUUUAAGCAAUUUAAAUAAAAUGUCUGCCACGGGUACUCAAAUCGAAACCCUUAUGGAUUUCAUGAUGAAAAAUCCAGAUUUAGCCCGUGGCCUUAUACAUAGCGUAGAGGGUCGUGUUCAAUCAAAAAGAUUGUGGGAUAAUAUCACAAGCCAUUUAAAUAGCCUUGGAGGUGCUGUAAAAACUGUGCAGCAGUGGAAGAAGCCUUUAGAACAGCCUACACCAAUGACAAUUACUGAAACCAUAUCAAACACCUCUACUAACAAAGAGACCCUUGAAGCUACUCCUGAUAUUGAUUCAGAAGUACACAAUAUUCAAG